UCUUUUCCUUUUUUUUCAGCAGCAGCGGUAAUACGGAGGAUGCGAGCGUUAUCCGGAUUUAUUGGGUUUAAAGGGAGCGCAGACGGGUCGUUAAGUCAGCUGUGAAAGUUUGGGGCUCAACCUUAAAAUUGCAGUUGAUACUGGCGUCCUUGAGUGCGGUUGAGGUGUGCGGAAUUCGUGGUGUAGCGGUGAAAUGCUUAGAUAUCACGAAGAACUCCGAUUGCGAAGGCAGCACACUAAUCCGUAACUGACGUUCAUGCUCGAAAGUGUGGGUAUCAAACAGG
rnacentral:rRNA from 1 species